rnacentral:rRNA from 1 species
AACGAACGCUGGCGGCAGGCUUAACACAUGCAAGUCGAGCGCCCCGCAAGGGGAGCGGCAGACGGGUGAGUAACGCGUGGGAAUCUACCCAUCUCUACGGAAUAACGCAUGGAAACGUGUGCUAAUACCGUAUACGUCCUUCGGGAGAAAGAUUUAUCGGAGAUGGAUGAGCCCGCGUUGGACUAGCUAGUUGAUGGGGUAAAGGCCUACCAAGGCGACGAUCCAUAGCUGGUCUGAGAGGAUGAUCAGCCACACUGGGACUGAGACACGGCCCAGCCUCCUACGGGAGGCAGCAGUGGGGAAUAUUGGACAAUGGGCGCAGGCCUGAUCCAGCCAUGCCGCGUGAGUGAUGAAGGCCCUAGGGUUGUAAAGCUCUUUCACCGGUGAAGAUAAUGACGGUAACCGGAGAAGAAGCCCCGGCUAACUUCGUGCCAGCAGCCGCCGUAAAAC